rnacentral:rRNA from 1 species
CAGCCGCCGCGGUAAUACGAAGGGGGCUAGCGUUGCUCGGAUUUACUGGGCGUAAAGGGCGCGUAGGCGGACAGUUUAGUUGUGGGUGAAAGCCCGGGGCUCAACCUCGGAACUGCCUUCAAUACUGGCUGUCUUGAGUACGGGAGAGGUGAGUGGAACUCCGAGUGUAGAGGUGAAAUUCGUAGAUAUUCGGAAGAACACCAGUGGCGAAGGCGACUCACUGGCCCGUUACUGACGCUGAGGCGCGAAAGCGUGGGGAGCAAACAGGAUUAGAGACCCCGGUAGUCCCUGUCUCUUAUAA